rnacentral:tRNA from 1 species
GUAGAUAUAGUUUAACAAAAACAUUAGAUUGUGAUUCUAGAAAAAAAGGUUAGAAUCCUUUUAUCCACC